rnacentral:rRNA from 1 species
AUUGAACGCUGGCGGCGUGCCUAAUACAUGCAAGUCGAGCGCAGGAAACCAGAUGACCCCUUCAGGGUGAUUCUGGUGGAAUGAGCGGCGGACGGGUGAGUAACACGUGGGCAACCUGCCUGUAAGACUGGGAUAACUUCGGGAAACCGGAGCUAAUACCGGAUAGUAUUUCCUUUCUCCUGAUUGGAACUGGAAAGACGGUUUCGGCUGUCACUUACAGAUGGGCCCGCGGUGCAUUAGCUAGUUGGUGGGGUAAUGGCCCACCAAGGCGACGAUGCAUAGCCGACCUGAGAGGGUGAGCGGCCACACUGGGACUGAGACACGGCCCAGACUCCUACGGGAGGCAGCAGUAGGGAAUCUUCCGCAAUGGACGAAAGUCUGACGGAGCAACGCCGCGUGAGCGAUGAAGGCCUUCGGGUCGUAAAGCUCUGUUGUUAGGGAAGAACAAGUACGAGAGUAACUGCUCGUACCUUGACGGUACCUAACCAGAAAGCCCCGGCUAACUACGUGCCAGCCGCCGCGGUAA